GAUCGAAGCCCCAGUAAACGGCGGCCGUAACUAUAACGGUCCUAAGGUAGCGAAAUUCCUUGUCGGGUAAGUUCCGACCCGCACGAAUGGCGUAACGAUGGCCACACUGUCUCCUCCUGAGACUCAGCGAAGUUGAAGUGGUUGUGAAGAUGCAAUCUACCCGCUGCUAGACGGAAAGACCCCGUGAACCUUUACUGUAGCUUUGCAUUGGACUUUGAAGUCACUUGUGUAGGAUAGGUGGGAGGCUUUGAAGCAGAGACGCCAGUCUCUGUGGAGCCGUCCUUGAAAUACCACCCUGGUGUCUUUGAGGUUCUAACCCAGACCCGUAAUCCGGGUCGGGGACCGUGCAUGGUAGGCAGUUUGACUGGGGCGGUCUCCUCCCAAAGAGUAACGGAGGAGUUCGAAGGUUACCUAGGUCCGGUCGGAAAUCGGACUGAUAGUGCAAUGGCAAAAGGUAGCUUAACUGCGAGACCGACAAGUCGAGCAGGUGCGAAAGCAGGACAUAGUGAUCCGGUGGUUCUGUAUGGAAGGGCCAUCGCUCAACGGAUAAAAGGUACUCCGGGGAUAACAGGCUGAUUCCGCCCAAGAGUUCAUAUCGACGGCGGAGUUUGGCACCUCGAUGUCGGCUCAUCACAUCCUGGGGCUGUAGUCGGUCCCAAGGGUAUGGCUGUUCGCCAUUUAAAGUGGUACGUGAGCUGGGUUUAAAACGUCGUGAGACAGUUUGGUCCCUAUCUGCAGUGGGCGUUGGAAGUUUGACGGGGGCUGCUCCUAGUACGAGAGGACCGGAGUGGACGAACCUCUGGUGUACCGGUUGUAACGCCAGUUGCAUAGCCGGGUAGCUAAGUUCGGAAGAGAUAAGCGCUGAAAGCAUCUAAGCGCGAAACUCGCCUGAAGAUGAGACUUCCCUUGUGGUUUAACCACACUAAAGAGUCGUUCGAGACCAGGACGUUGAUAGGUGGGGUGUGGAAGCGCGGUAACGCGUGAAGCUAACCCAUACUAAUUGCUCGUGAGGCUUGACUCU
rnacentral:rRNA from 1 species